rnacentral:rRNA from 1 species
AUGCUUAAAAUUGAUCUUGCAAAAGCUUUUGAUCGUAUUGAAUGGAAUUUCAUUGUUUUCGCUCUUCAACGUAAAGGAUUGCAUGCUCAUUUCAUUAAUUUAAUUUAUGCAUGCAUCUCCUCGCCUUCGUUCUCAGUCAUUAUCAAUGGUCAACCUACUCAUAGGUUUAAAAGUAAUAGGGGUAUUAGACAAGGAUGUCCUAUGUCCCCCUAUCUUUUUGUGCUUGCCAUUAAUGAACUUUCUCUUACUCUCAAUGAUGCUAUGGCUGCUAACCACCUUCAAGGUAUUUUGCUUGGGCCAAAUUGCCCCCCUGUCCACUCUUUGCUCUUUGCAGAUGACCUUCUGGUUUGUGGCCAAGCUAAUUUGCAAGAAGCUAGUAUGAUUGCUCACAUCAUCCAUCAUUUUUGCGCUAUCUCAGGUCAAAUUCCGAAUUGGUCUAAGUCAGCAAUACUGUUUAGUGCUAAUGUUAAUCAAACGGUCAUUACUGAUAUUAAGACCAUUUUCCCUGUUCCUUCCAUGGAUGACAAUUUUAUUCAUUUGGGCCACCCUUUAAUUCUUCCUGCCAAAAAUAGAAUUUCUGCUUACAACUUUGUCCUUCAUAGAUUCAUGGCUAAGCUUCCUACCUAUAAGGCUAACAUGCUUUCCCAUGCAGCUAGGUUAGAGCUUAUUCGAUCUGUUUUUUCUUCCAUUCCGGUCUAUUACAUGUCAAAUAUUUUGUUUACCAAAAAGUUUAUUCCAAACUCACUUCUAUUAUCAGAACUUUUUGGUGGACAGGAAUUAAGGAGGGAGAUUCUUCGAAAGGUCUUUGCCUUAGAGCAUGGAAGGAUAUAUGUACUUCUAAGGAGGAGGGAGGUUUGGGAAUAA